CCUAAACACAACAGCAGCUGAAGUGAGGAGAGAGGUGAGAGCUUUCCACCAUUGUUACUAUUCACUUCAAACUUCCCAAGCUCAUAUCUUGAGCUACGGAGCUCCGAUCGCCGCACCGUUUGCGGCUACGCGUUCCUUGUGAAGAGCUCUACAAAACCCACCCAAGAAACCCUCAAGGUUUGCUCUAAUCCUUUCUUAGCUUUGGAUUUGUGUUAUCAAAUCUGUUGGGAAAGUUUGAUUAUUGUGGCUUUGGGAGCUUUUGGAACUUAUUUGUGCUUGUUGGAGUGGAUUUGAAAGCUUGGAUUGUAGUUGGAAGCUUGUUGGUGCUCAUUUUGAGUUUGGG